GAUGAAAACGCAGCGAAAUGCGAUAAGUAAUGUGAAUUGCAGAAUUCAGUGAAUCAUCGAAUCUUUGAACGCACAUUGCGCCCAUCAGUAUUCUGUUGGGCAUGCCUGUCCGAGCGUCAUUUCAACCCUCAGGGCCCGUUCGCGGGAACUGGUGUUGGGGAUCGGCCUCCCCCCGGAGGCCGGCCCCGAAAUGCAGUGGCGGCUCUACCGCGAUCUCCUCUGUGUAGUAGCGAUACCUCGCAGCUGGAUAGUGGUGGUGCCACGCCGUAAAAUCCCAACUUUACCAAGGUUGACCUCGGAUCAGGUAGGAAUACCCGCUGAACUUAAGCAUAUCAAUAAGCGGAGGA
rnacentral:misc_RNA from 1 species